rnacentral:lncRNA from 1 species
CACGUAGAUUUUAGAAACAAUGUGUUUAUAUGUUUUUGUACAGUUUACAUGUAAAUAUUUCAUUAGUCAAAUGAAUAUUUACAUGCCUUUGUGCAGUUUAUUUUUUAAGCAUUAAUUUGAUAAAUGAAAUUUUUAGGCUUUAUCAAGUAAAAUUAAUUGAGAUGGAGUAGUGAUAAAAGAAGAAGAUGAAUUUGCGUGAUAUUAUCGUUUAAUGAAAAGAUUUUUGAAAUUCUCGUUGCUAUUUUAAGAAUUAUGGAUGAGAAGGUUUGGAUAGGGAAGAGGACAAUAUAGCAGUAUUUUUGGGUUGUUAAUCAUUUCAAUUAGGGAUUAAAGAGAUAUUUAAAAUUAAAAUUAUUUUAAAUAUAGUAAGAUGUGAUUUAUUUCAAUACGGAUUAAAAGGAAUAUGAUACCACAUAAAAAUGAAACGAGAGAGUAAAAAGUAAGGACAUGUAGCAUUUGAAAUUCCUAUACCUAACACAUCUUUAGACCUUUAAAAAACACAUAAAAAUUUUCUCAUAUAUAAGUAACGUUUGAUCAAAUUUUUGAAUGAGUUGACAACAUUAUAUGUGAAUUCUUCUUUCACUAACCUUUUCGUAUUAUGAUUGCAUAUAUUGCAAUGAAGGAAAAAGAAGAACUUUCGACUCCCAGAAUUAGAGCAAAAACAAAAUUUAUUUUAGGUAUGGCUUAUUUUUUUAUAUAUUGUAGGUAACUUUGCACUUUAGUUUCCUGAAAAAUGCAUUGCACGAGAACUAAGUGAUACUUUUGCAACGAUAUUGGUAUGUUAAUUUUUAAGCUACCAAAAUGAAUUGCAUCAAAUAUCAAUAAUUAUUUGAGAGUAAAUUACAACUUAAUUCAUUAAAGAUAAAUAAUUAGUUGAAUUUUUUUUUAUUAUAAUUACAAAUAACUUGAUAAUUUAUAAAUCUUAAACUCUCUCAUCACAUUUAAAUUUUAUAUUUAUUAUGAAAAAAUGAUAUCCAAACACGCUUGCUACACUUCACUCGAUUAACCAAUCACUGAAAAAGGAGAGAUUAAAAAGUUUUCAUUCGAAGGAAAAAUGAACUUUAUCAUCCAUAAUCAACACUUAUUUUAAAAGUUAAGCCACUAUCCUAUUCCUACAUAAUCCCAAAAAUUUGAUAAGAGAUUAAAUCAGGUAAUUGAAUUUGUUGGUUUGAAAUAUGAUAUAUGAUUCCACUGUUUCUCUUAUUUUUAUUAAUUUUAAGAUUUCAUUAUUUCUCUUAUUUCUGUUAAUUGCGCCUCCUUUAUCCUUCUUCUUUGCUUUUAUUUAGAAACAAAAUUUUACCAUGAAAGAUCCAACAAAAUUUUACCAUGAAAGAUCCAAAGCACAACCAUAGAAUAAAUCAAUGAUAGUGUGCUACGGCGUGAACAAUCUGCUUAUCCAUAGAAAUAAACAUAUUCAAAUCUUACAGUUUUGUUGAGAUAUUUUGAUUUCUUUGUUUAUAGCACACUAAAUUUUCUUGCUUUAUUUAUCUAUUUUUUUUUUUAAAUUUGAUUAUCCUUUCUAAUCUGAAUUUUAUUUGUACGAGUUACACAUAAUAUGGAUAUUUGAUUCUCUUCCGAAACUCACCCAUACCCGCUCAUGAAGUAUGACGUCUUUGAUUACACUAGAGCAAAAAAAAAAAAAGAAAAUAGCAUGGGGUCGCUGUCAUACCCUAUUUUUAUCUAAGCUCAAAACGAGCACGGUAUUAUGAUCUCUAAAAGAAUAAAUUAUGUACAGAGUCUCCACUUAAUUUUUAAGAAAAAAUAGAAAACCUAUUUAUUUAUUAACACGUAUAAUUUUAUUUAAUCUACGAACCAAUUUAGAUUCUAGAUAAGAAUUCAAAUUAUUCCGAAGAAAAGGUAUUAGGCACCCUUCAGAAUCCACAAAUGUGGUUUCCGACUAGACUUAAGGUUUAUUUAAAAAAAAAAAAUCUUUAUGUAUACAUGCAAAUAUAAAACUUGUAUUGUAAAUAAUUUAUAUACAAAAAAAUGUACAGAUUACCUAUAUUUUAGUAAAGCUAUGCAUAAAAGUAUACGAAAAUAUGUAAAUAAAAGUAUGUAUAUGAAAAGAAAAAAAUAAAGAUUGAAUGAAGGAAAAUUUAUUUUAAAGAAAAAGAUUAUAUAAUAUUUUUAGUGUAAAAAUUAUGAAUUAUUUGAUUAGAUAUCUCAAUUAAUUUGAUAUAAAUAUUAACGGCCUAAAUUUGCCUAAACGUGUGUUAAAGAUUGCGUAAGUAAACAUAUCCCCACCCAACAUUAAAAGUAAAGUUUUCACUAUAAUAAUAUUUUAUACAAAUAUAAAAAUAUAAAAAUACAAUAUAAAACUUAAAGUCUUCUUUGGAGAUCUUUCGGACUAGUAUUUUCAAUAACCUGUAUAAACACUUGUAAUAAAAAUGUUAGCAACAAGUAAAAAAUAAUCAAAAUAAAUUGAACAAGUAUGUGUUUAUAUAUGUAUGUAUAAUUUUUAUUAAAAAAAUGGGCUCAGAUAAAGCCUUUUUUUUUUUUUGGUUAUUUUUGAAAAUAUAAAGAUUUCAUCAUUGCUCAAAAUAUUUAUUUUAUUACAGAUUUAUAUAUGUAAUAUCCGUCUUUUAUUUGUAAAGAAGCCUCGGAAAUCGACGAUAAAAUUCCUUCAUUGAUCAUUAUUUAAUAAAACCGCUUUAUACUAACUGAUAAUUCCAACAAAUGAAUAAGAAUGACAAUUACAUUUAAAAGAAGUUCUAAAACAGCAACAAAUAAUAGUCAGUGAAACAACGAUAAAAGUAACCUAACCUCAAACCAUGAAUUCUUCUCAAAUAAAGUUAUAAAAACAAAUUUAUCAAAAAGCAACAAAUGGAUAAUGAUAAUUUGGUCAAAUUAUGACCUUAACCAGCAGCAAAACAAUGAAAUAUUAACAAACACCAAGCAAAUUGAGCAAAAGCAAAGCCAAAUGAAGCAAACCAGUAUGAACAAAGAUCGAUCAAAAGAACCUCAACGGAGUUCAAAUUUCUGUCCUGGAAAUUAAAGCAAUAUAACUCAUAAAAAAUAAAAAAUAAAAUAAAAAUUAUAAAUACAAAGAAUCAACCGUGGAUAGAUCUGGUUUGGGAGAAAGAACGGAGAGAGAAAGUAAGAGUUAAAAGAGAAGGGAGAGAAAGAUGAUCAAUCGUGUGUAUGUGUGUAUUGUAUUUAAAAAGAAGGGAAGUGAUGAAAGUGUGUGGGUCCCCCUCUUUCUUUUUUUCUUUGUGUGUAUAUUGACUAAAACACAAAAAAGAGGAGAAUAAAUUAUCAAAUGUACACAUAUCCCUUAUAUUUAGGAAAAUAAUUGGGGAA